rnacentral:lncRNA from 1 species
GCCCGCACAGCCCCGCCACCCUGAGCUGAGCAGUGCCAAGGGAUGGAUGCGCAACAGGAAGUGGAGGUGGCCAGCCCUGGAGGGGAAAAGGGGCUCCCUGCCCAGAAAGACAGUGAUGGGGGUUUCUAGAACAAGGAAACCCAGAAGGUUCCCAGAUGUCCAGGAGACAGGAAAUGAGAAUUUCAGAGCCAGCGGGAAGACAAGGUGCCUCACUGAGCUGCUGGACCAUGAAAGGUGAAAAACACACUGAAGAUGAGAGCCAUCUCGGGAGCACCCGAACACAGAUGUCCAUAAAGGAGCUCGUGAACACCACGGACCCUCCCGGGACCCAUCCCAUCCAGGCCUCCUUCCCCUCCACCAUGCUCUCUCUGUGGCUACUCUGGGUCUAACACAACCACUAGAAAAACUAUCCCCAAACAGGCACAGUGAGAGCACACGAACAGACAUGCUGAUACAGUUCGGACAUUCGUCCCUUCCAAAUUUCAUAUUGAAAUGCCAUCUCCAGUGUUGGAGGUGAGGCCUGGUGGGAGGUAUUGGAUCAUGGAGGUGAACCCCUCAUGAAUGGCUUUGCACCAUCUCCUUGAUGAUGAGUGACUUCUCACUCAGUUCACACAAGAUCUGGUUGUUUAGGCCAGGUGUGGUGGCUCACGCCUGUAAUCCCAACACUUUGGGAGGCCUAGAUGGGCAGAUCACUGGAGGUCAGGAGUUCAAGACCAGCCUGGCCAACAUGGUGAAACCCUGUCUCUACUAAAAACACAAAAAUUAGGGCUGGGCUCAGUGGCUCAGCUGUAAUCCCAGCACUUUGGGAGGCCGAGGCGGGUGGAUCACCUGAGGUCAGGAGUUCGAGACCAGCCUGCCCAGCAUGGCGAUACCCUACUUCUACUAAACAUACAAAAAAUUAGCCAGGUGUGGUGGUGCGCGCCUGUAGUCCCAGCUACUCAGGAGGCUGAAGCAAGAGAAUCGCUUGAACCCGGGAGGCGGGGCUUCCAGUGAGCCAAGAUCACGCCACUGCACUCCAGCCUGGGCAACAGAGCGAGACUCCGUCUCAAAAAAAUAUUUAAAAAAUGAAAAAAUAAAAAUUUGCCAGAUGUGGAGGCGCAUGCUUGUAAUCCCAGAUACUUGGAAGGCUGAGGCAGCAGAAUCGCUUGAACCCGGAAGGCGGAGGCUGCAGUGAGCUGAGAUCACGGCACUGCACUCCAGCUUGGGAGACACAGUGACUUUUCUCUCAAAAACAACAACAACAAAAAGAUCUGGGUGUUUAAAAAGAGUCUGGGACCUCUGUCUUUCUUCUGUUGCUCCCACUUUCCAUGUGCCAGGCCUGCUCCCACUACCCCCUCCGCCAUGAUUGGAGGCUUCCUGAGGCCUCACCAGGAGCAGAUGCCAGCUCCAUGCUUCCUGGACAGCCUGCAGAACUGUGAGCCAAAAUAAAGCUCUUUUCUUUCUUUCUUUCUUUUUUUUUUUUUUUGAGGUGGAGUCUGGCUCUGUCACCAGGCUGGAGUGCAGUAGCACGAUCUUGGCUCACUGCAACCUCCGCCUCCCGGGUUCAAGCGAUUUUCGU